CAGUAAAUUCUCUGUGAGCAUCCCUUUGAAUUAUAAAUUGUAUUGCCAAAAUUGAAUAAUGACUAGUCCAUUUCAGAAAUUGAGAAGGUUUCAGGUUAAAGUAGACAAAAUCUCAUUAAGCAUAGUAUAUAUAACAUGAUGUGUGUUUAAGCUUUAUAGCGUGCAUUGAGUAUGUUGUCUUUAAAAGAUCAUUUCGAUAUGUAACAGGACAAAUAGUGAUAUAUAUUAUUUUAAUGAAUUAAGCGUGUUGCACGUUUUAUUAUGUGUCACGAUCAGACUAAAUCAAACCGAGUCUGCAAUAUAUUUGCUUGGUUUCAUUGCUUUUACCCUACUAAAUUUUAUAAUGAACUUGUCUUUCAAUUUGGACAGUGCCAUUAACUGUUAAAAACUUAAAAGGGGUUGAUACAAAUAAGAUAAUGACUGAAUGGCGAAUAGUGCAGGUCUUGAUCAGACUACAAUUAUCAGCAAGCUGAUCAUGAUCUUCAUUUAUCGCAAAGGUAGAACCAAUCGUGUCCAGCAGGAUAAAGGUUAAGAGAUGUUUCUUAUCGAUCUUGUUAAUUACCAAAAUAUAAUUAUACUAAAUCAAAACCAGAUACCGAUUUGAUUGAUUAAAGAAAUGAAACUAUGAACAAUAUAUACAUCUCUUUUUAUAACAGGAACUGUUAUAAUGGACUGAAGAAAACAGGGGACAAACUGUAGAAGAUCAACUGAUAGAAGAUUUAAACAGCACAGCUGCCAAGCUUGUCAUAAUUAUGGGGUACAGCCAGGAAAGUGUUGAAAGUGCUAUAAAUGGUGCCAGACAGAAAUAUGGUACCUCCAAGUUAAGAGCUCAAUACAUCCUAGAAUUCCUGCUCGAUAGUAACAAUACAGUCACCAAGUUCCCUACCGGAAGUCAAUGCAGCAGCGUCCUCUGGAAAUACGACAUCAUCACAUACAUCUACCUCAACUAUCUCAUCAGAGCAACCAUCAAAUUCACCUGCUUUACAAAGACUUCGAGAGGAUAUCUUAAAAGAAAAUGAAAACGAAGAAGAAACACGACAGUUACUAGACGAGAACCGUGCCUUGAAACAACAAAUGACAUGUAAAGCGUGCAUGGACAAGGACACUUGUAUUGUAGUAUUGUAUUCAUGCCAUGUGGGCACAUGGUUGCCUGUGUGGAGUGUGCGCUUGCGCUAAGGAAGUGUGCAGUAUGCAGGAACAUUAUUCAAGGAACUGUAAGAGCAUAUCCAGGCUGAACUUGUUUUAGUUUAUUUCAUCACGAUUUUUGCAAGAAAAUCUACCUCGGGAAUAUUGCGUUAUUCUAAGUUGGCGUCAACCCUUUUAUGAAGUGAUUUUGACAAUUAGUAAUAGUAGUAGUUUUAUUUUACACAAGUUUAUUUAACAUAGCAAUUCAAAACAAGUGAUAUAUAAUAUUGACGAAUCAUCAGACAAGAAAAACGACACGACAUAGAUAAAUUACAUAAAAUUAAGCCAAGUAAUGUUCACAAAUACCAGGAAUAACACGAAAAAGAGGAAAGGAUUCCACUUUUAUUCCCAUUUUGGUCCCUCAUACUGGAUGUAUGACACAGAAAGUCAUGUUAUAAAUAAAUAUUCAGUAUGAGUAUUGCGCAACGUUACAUAAUUCAGAAAUGUAUUUGAGAUCACAUAUAUAUAACAAUCAAAGUAAGUAUCAUAUUAUUAAAACAAGGAGUGGUUCAUUACAGAAUUUGUCAGCAAAACUAAAAUCUAUUAUAUCAUAAUUAUUAUAGUUGAGGUAUUGAUAUUGUAACAAUGAAGGCAUUGAUAUCAUUAAUAUUAAAUCAGUACUGCAGUAUAGUAAACAAAGAAGGAUAAAUUACUUUGUGAAAAACAACUUUAAACUAAGAGGUCUCAUAUAAAUACAUGUUAAGAGAUUCAGAUUUUUAUUGAUAGUGACUAGAAUGAAAUAAACUGGCCAUAAAAUGGGCUAUGGUUGCAUGUUUGAAUGUGUGGAAAGAUUCAAUACACCUAAGAUGUUGAGGGAGACUGUUCAACAAAACAACACCAUUAAAAGUAAAAGAUUUUCUAUCAAAGCUUCCUACCUUUGGUAAAACAAAUUGCCCUGUAUAACUAAAAGUAUAGCUAGUAUCAACUGAAUCGGAAGAAGGAAGUGAAGACACUCCUGAUCUGGUACAACGGUCAUGGACAUGGGUAAGGGGUACAAAAUACUCCUUAAGGCAUUCUGGUGCUGUGUCUGAUUGUAUUCUUUGACAUAACAGAGAUUUAUCUGAUCUACUCUCUUUGAGACAGGUAACCAGUUAAGAGUCUUGAAUUGAUCUAACCUAACAUGAGGCCUACCAUCUAUAUUCAAGACAAAUUGAACCAAUUAAUCAUCGGUAGUCUGAAGCCUAUUUUUCCAAUACUGGGCGAAACUAGGGUACCAGAAAAAACAAAUGGGGUUAAAGUAAGAUUGUACUAAGGACAUGACCAAUAGUUUCCUAGUGUGAAGAUCCAAGAACUGACUUUUUCUUGAAAGAAUUUCUACCGGGCAUUUGACUUUGUAACCAUGGGUCACCAGAUUGAACAUGUGUAGUAUCAGCCCAUUGAAACAUGCAUUUUAUAUCAUUCAUAAUAUACUCAUCACAACAAUAAUUACAAAUAUAUAUACAAGUAUUCUUAUUUUAACAUUGAUGAAUAUAUGUCACUGCAUUUAAGGAACAUCAGCAAAAAGUUAAUUAUUUUUACAAAGAUUUACUUAGCUGUUUCAUAUCAAAUUGUUUGCCAAGCGGUGUCGAAUAUUAGGUAUGUAAUUUAUUUGUCGAAAUAAUAAUGCUAGUCAUAGUUGUUUCUUUUAUAACUUUUUAGCUCUUCAAAUACAUAUUGAACGCGUUUCACGUACAAUUGUAUUUUAGCAACAUGUUGAACUGUAUUCAUUGUCAUUAUGUGUGUGAUAGAUGAACUUGACUGUUUUUUUUAUAGUUAGAGUGCUUAGAGCUCAAAAUUGGCGGAAUCGUUCAGAUAAUUCUACAAGCAAAUUGCUUUGCAUGAUUAUAGUUUGACACAUUGCCUUUAAUAUUUGAUCGAGACCCCAACCUCAAAAUCAAUAUGGCGGCCAAAAUUGAAGAUGGCCGCCGCAUGGCUAACAAGCUUUGUGACAAUUGCACAAAUUUUAUAAAAAUGUGUGUUAGAACAUGGAAAAUAAGGUUACUUCUUUUUUUUGCAUUGAUUAAUAUUGCAAAAGUGUUCGACUACAUACCCAAAUAAGGCUUUUGCUGGAAAUAUCAAUUUUAAUAUAAAAUAUGCACAUUUAUAAUGGUAAACUGGAUGGAAAAUUGUCAUUUUUUUAUCAACACAUUGCAGUUUCAUUUUCCUAGAUAAAUUUAGCAACAAAGUAUUACUAAAAUUGUUUUAUAGUCUUAUUUGAUUUAUGUUUUAUUGGUUUUACCUGUAAAUGAAAUAAAUGCAAGGAUAGGUGGGUGGGGUAAAUUGACCAUCUGCAAAUUCACUUAACAUGUACAUUACUUGUAUAUCAUUUUAAACAUAAUUCGAAUAAAUUGUGAUUAAGUGAACUGCAUUAUACGACAAUAUUUCGUAAAGUAAAAAUCAAUAUAUAGCAUACUUUACUCAAGUUACGUUACCUUUUCAUUAAACGUGUUUAUUAUUUCAAAUUACUCAGAAGGAUUUUAAAUUUAGGCAGAUUUUAAAUACAAAUCGCUAUGAAUUUUGCUGCAAAACAUGAACAAAACAAUUAGUAGCAUAAUUAUUGUUUGUUAUUGGUUUCGUUCCAGGGUAGACUCUAUACGGAAGUAUUUUACAUAUUUUACGUUACUAUUUCACUACACUUAUUAUACUGUAUCAUUAUAUUUAAUAAGAUAUUUCAAAAAUAAGUUACUGUGCAUUUAGUUAAUACUGUAAGUCUGAAAUAUACAAACAUACUUGUCAUGUAUUGCUGUUUGUUUUAUCUAACAACUCUUUUAAAUACGUUACCAGUAUAUCUGGUUUUAUUUUGAAAAAUAUGUAGGAAAAAUAUUGAAUUACCGAUAUCGAUAUACUGAGAAUGACUAAAAAGUAAGACUUUUCUAAUCGUCAUAUAAUUAUGUACAAGUGGUGAUCCGAAAUUGCAUGGCCUUUUUUCAUAAAUUUCAUUUAGAAAUAUACCCUACUGAAAAUUGUAUAGUACAAAAAGACAAAAAGAGGUGCAGUUCCACUGGAAUUCAAAUGCGCAUGUAUACUAAGUAUAUGCUAGGGCACGUUUGUGUAAGUUAUGUCAAUAUGUAAUAAUUACAGAAUUUCCACAUUAUACGCUUAUCACCUGUGUUUCCAAACCUCACCAUUUUCUAAUUUAAAUAGCGCUGUCAAUAUUAGGUGCACAAGUUUUAUUUUAAUUUUGAAAAUAAAUUAAAUAACCGUUUCGUUUUGGAGUUAUGGUGAAAGUCUACGUAAUUCUGGAUCAACCCUCGUUUUGUCAAAAUAUCAGUCAAAGACCCACUGCUAUCAUUAGUCAAGUCAUAUAUCAGAAAUGAAUGUAGCCAUUCAUGCAGUUAAUAAAACGUAUUAUGUAAAGAAUCAUAUAUGUCAUGAUCUGAAUGGGAACAAAACAGAUUCUAAAAUAGCAAAGCCCGUUUGUAUGCUAACUAUCUAUUGUAUUCGUUUAGAACACUCAGUUAUAACAGUUACUGGGAUUCCAAGAAAUCUUACAAAAACUUAGCAUAAUGAUACAGUGCUGUGCUUCAAGGUCAGUGUCAUAGGUGAGGACACUAACCAUAAUAACCCUAAUACACUGGCAAUAGCACUCUUGGAAGCUUACUACUGAAUAAUUAUCUUGUUAGAUUAAAUGUCAUCAAAUUCCAUCAAGCUUUCAAGAAGUAACAGAAAACAUGAUGUCAGUAUUAUACAUAUUGCCUGAUAAAAUAUAAUGCAGAAGAAUAUAAUUAUUUUGAAAUAUCUAAUAAAGUCUAUAAGAGUAACUCAGGCCCCACUCCACUCAAGUUCCUGACAAAUUACCUAUACUCAUCAGUGUUGCACCAAACUAUUUUGGCAAAGAAAUAAUAUUUUCUCAACAUUUAGACCCCUCACACCCCAAUCCCCCCAAAAACCAAACGCUUCAGAGACCAACAUUUCAUAUCAAUAUUUCAAAAUUUUCCAGGAGUAGAGCCCCUUACCCCUUUACCUGAUAGGCAGUACGUCAAAUUUUAGACCAAUCAGUGCAAUAGAGACUAUCAUUUCAUACCUGGUUUUCAAACAUUACCUGAGAGAAGGGGCCCUGACCCUGCUAAAAUGAUGUAACUCCCUCUAGUACCUCAAAAUUUAGACCAGGAAAUGCUCAAGAGGUCACCAUUCCAUACAUGCCUAUCAAAAUAUUCUUGGGGAGAUACCUCUGAGGGCUCCAAUUUCGUACCUCCCUAAUCUUGGCGCUUUGCAUCUUGCCGAUGAUGACUUCGCAUUAAACUGGUGUCUCCCAAUCAAAUAUUUCUGGACGCGGGCUUGUAAACUAUGCAAGUUUAGACCGCAACCAAGCAAAUAAAAUCAGACUUUAAUGAACCCAGACUUUUCAUGAGAGGUAAUGAAAUGCGCAGCACUCUAGCAAUGGCUUUAGCGGAAAUCAAUUAUACAUAUAAAAUUAAUAGACGUCUUGAUCCCAAAGGACAAGAAGGUAUAACAACACCGAUUGAAAGUGCUAGAAGAUUUUUGCAUCCGGCAUCCAACAUACGGCACUUUAAGACUGUUGUUUUGAUAGUAAAUAAACUCUAAAAGAGGAAGAGCCAGAAAAUAUAACAACACUGCACGAGUAUGCAUUCAAUACUGACAUGACUGACAUUAUGAUAGUUGGUUUAAGAAAUUUGGUCAACAUAUCAACAUUAUUUCGUAAAUUAAAGGUUCAUUACUAAGGGAAAGUGAGUUGGCAAUUUUUUUCAUAGCCAGUGCAUAGACUUCUGCAAGACACUAAAUAAUGAAGAUUGGCAGGUCAAAAUUUACAGAAGGUCUUUGGAACUCAAAGAAAUGUAUGUGUAUUAUGUUGAAAUUUCAAUGAAUCGACAGAAUGAGCCCCCAGGUCUUUUUAACUUUCUUCAUACUUCAUAGAAAAAAUAUUGUACAUAUACUGCGAUUUAUUGCGAAUUUCUACAUACCAACUUUCAUUUUCCAAUAAAAUGAAAUAGUUUCUGUGCUUUUUAAAAGAAAUUAAAAUGUUCACUUUCCCAAGUAUUGGACCUUUAAUCUUGAACCAGUUGAACAAUAUUAUUUCCACAUGUAAAAUUGGGAGAAUAUACAACUGGUCAUCUUGAAUUUAAAGAGUUAUUGCCAAUAUCUUGUUGAUAAAAAUCGUAUUUAAUUGGCAUUGUGAUGCACAUUUCGUAAUGAAGGAAUUUAUACCAUAUCACAUUAACUGAAAAUCGAAAACACAACCCGCUUUGUUCUUUGUGUAAAUGGACAUUUUUCUUUCCGUCUCUUUUUCUUUACCAAUUGCUAUUGGUCACUUUUCAAUAAGCUAAUUGCCUAUUAUGCUUCACUGUGUUUCGUCGCCAGCUUUAAAUUCAUAGUGAAAGGAGAAGCAGGAUGCCAAGCACUGUUUGAUUUCGAGAUAGUUUUCACAGUAAAAUGUAAUAUUAUACCGCCUCGUCAAGGCAAGCUGGCAUAAUAUAUCAACGAAGCAAAUGGAUGUUCAGUAAGUAAAAAAUCUGACUAGGAAUCUUGGCAGCCAUUUUGAAUUUGGAAAACUGUCAGUCGAGCUACAUCUAGUGUUAAAGUGAUAUAAGAGCACUAUAUUUCUAGUUUAUGAACUUUAUUCAAUAAGAUUUUCAACAAAAGAUGCAUGAACAAACUAUCUUACAUAUUUUGAAAAUCUCGAUUUUUGGCCAAAUUAUAUCGGCCAUCAGGAAUUGUGUCGGCCAUUUUGAAUAUAGGUUUUCAAAGUCUUAUUUUUUUCGAAAAUAAGAUUUACAUAUUUCAUUAUCAAAACCCAUUUUGCCUACUUCCAACAAAAAAUAUUACUUAAAUAAUUAUUUUAAUGAAGUCUUAGAAAUUGGCGGCCAUCUUGGCGGCCAUUUUGAAUUUUAGACGCCAUGUUGAUUUUGACGCUUGGGUCUCGAUCAAAAGUUUAGCGUAUGGUUACAAACAAUAAACAUGCAAAGUGAUUUGCUUGUAGAAUUAUCUGAACGAUUUUCUGUAUUAUCACUCCAACUAUUAAUUAAUAACGUAAUGUUAAAUCUUUGUACUUGGGAUGCCACUGGAUUUUUGUCUAGUUGUUCGUAUUUAUGUGAACUAUUACACAAAAAAUAUAGAUAUACUAGUUUGUGGGAUUUCGAAGCAUUCUUUUUUUAAAGAAUGUGGCCUACAUUUUUUUAAGUUGCCUUGAUAAUCUUUAUAAUUCAUAUACAGUAUCCCAUCGUGACCUUUCAGUAUUUGGCCGGAAAAGUGUAUGUUAAAAGUGGGGCAUGUCUGCUAUUGAACAAAAGGUUAAGUAUAAAAGUUUCACGGUUACCGUUAAAUAACGAAAAUCGUCUCAUAGGUAUAGGGAUUGUGUUUCAAGUAUAUUUACCUUGCUCUAAGCAUAGUAUCAAUCUACACAGAGAAUAUAUUGACAAAAUUGAUAAAAUUUUCUCCAUAUUCAUUCAGAAAGAAACUUUAAUCUUAAUGGGCGACUUUAAUUCGGAUGUUUAAGCCUCAGCCAGUUGUUCAAGGUUUUUUAUUUUGCUAUUUGCUAAACCGUCUCUGUUUACAGCUUAAAUAUAUGUAAAGUGGCAAAAUAUACGAAGCUAAUUAUGAUGGUGCAACCGAAACACUGAUCGUUCGUAUACUUUUCCUGUGAGAAAAUAGAUCUGUUCACUCGGUGUAAAAUACUAAAUGAUAAUGCUCUAAAUGUUUUUAGCCACAGAGCCAUAAUAUGUUGUUUCAAUACAUAUACAUACAACAGUUCUCCACAGUCAAGUCCUAUACAUAAAAUAAAUUGGAAGAAAGGUAUCUUCAUCUCAAAAGGAAAGAUACAGAGAAUACUUGAACAGAGUUACCACUCUAAAUUCUCUGCUAGAUCACAAAAUUCUUUCAAAAGAAAAAAAAAAUGAUUUCUGUAACAAGUUAUUACACAAUCCAUCUCUGAAGCAAUUAACGAUAUUUUUAUCUGCAUUUAAAUUUAAGAACUUAUUAAAGCCGUAUUUGGAUCCGGAACUCAAAGAGGCUUAUUAAGUGCGUAAAGCAAGAGAAUGGUGUUGGUUACAAUUUGGGGCAUUUUGAUUUUGUCAAGAGUUCUUAGAAUUUAAAAGAGCAAAAUCAAAAGGCUCUUGGUAUUUACACCUCAAAAACCCAUGCAGAAAUUGAUAAGUAUGCAGAAGUUGACAGAGCCUACCUUUGGAAAUUAGUAAAUGAAUAAAGAAAGAUGUCACAUACAGCAUUUGGAAGUGAACUGAUCUUUGAUAAUGUUGUAUCCAGAGACCUUAAGAAGUUAAAUGAACGUUUGGGCAAUUAUUUUGAAACUUUGUGCAAACCAUCAGAAUGUGAUAAUUUUAUCUAAACUUAUCAUGACUCAGUUAUGAACCGAAUAAAGCUUGCUUGCAUAAUAAGUGCUUUUAGGCGCUAUGCUGAUAUCGUAUCUAAUGUCUAGCUGAUGUCGGAGAAAUUAGAUUUUAAACUGAAAUUCAAAUAUGUUUUUAUAUAUAACACAUUAUAAAUUAUACCCCAAAAAAUAAAAAUGGUAGAAUGACACCAUACCUAAUAUACCUUAUGAACAGAUUUUAUAUGCAGAAAUGCUAACGAAACAGUUGAAAUGUAUAUCAUACAAUGGACUAAAAUGAAAUCACUGGAGAAUUGAUUAAUAGUUUAACACGAUAUAAAAGGCUAGCUGGCUUACGCUGGCUCACGAAAGGUCAGCGGGUUUUGAUUCAGGUGCCCGCUCGAGCACAAUCCUUCUGAACAUAAGGCAAAGAUGCGUACCUUGGGUCUUCUUCCACUAUAAAAAGCUGAAACGUCACUUUAUGGCCUAUAAGUGUGUCGAUAUAAGAUUAAAUCCGACAAAAACAGUGUUGGUUAGAUAUCAGAUAUCUAUAUUUUCCCGGUGAAAUAUCAAAACAUUCGCGGGUAUGCACACAUCAGUGCACCUGUAAAUUAUUUCUUUUCAGUGUCUGCCUAAGACACAUGAUCAGCACAAUCAUCAAUUCUAUUUUGAUACUUCAAAUACUAUAUCAAUACUUCGAAAAUUGUACACGGUUGUCUAAGUCUGUUUAUGAAUUAACUAUGUGAAAGUUGUAUUCAAAUGACAUUGCUGCUCGUAUUUUAAAACAAUACCUCAAAAACAGUCAUCAUGUGUAAAAGUUAUCAAACGUAAACAAAGCCUAGAUUAGUAAAUACAAGUUUAAGGGUGAACAUGUUUCUUAUUUUCAUGUUAUACUGAGUUUAUUCAGUUUUUUUAACUAUUUAAUUCACUCGUUCACUGGUUUAAUAUAUUCAGUUAACAACGAAUUCGAUUAAUGUAUCUCGUAUAGAGAAAUAAUACAGAAUUCCGACAGAAUCUUCGUCUUUUAGCAAGCUUAUGUAUAAAUAAGGUGUUUUGAUAUCUGGGCGAAAGCUGGUUAGAAAUUUUUUUAACCUACUUAUUGGCAAACACACCCGCUUAGCUUAGUAGGGAGAACGUUGGUCUGAGGAUCGCGGGGUCGCGUGUUCGAUAUCGGGCGUGGCUUGUGUUAUCCGUGGCAAUUUGAAAAAAGACAUUGUGUCUGACGUCAUUCGUACUCCUCCUCUGAUUAUUCAUCUGGGGAUGUUGGCAGUUACUUGCAGAGAACAGGUUUGCACUGGUACAGACGGCCUUAUACC